rnacentral:lncRNA from 1 species
AGGUACAUAUAAACACAUCCAAGAAUUAGAUGCAGCGCUGGAGCAAACUAUUCUUCUUCUAUUUCAGCCUUUACCAGGAAAAGUCAGAGUAAAUUAUAAGCCCAAACAAUUUGCCAUGUUCAGGUGUUAGAUAGUACAAUUGCCUUUCACACUGCAUGGAGUUGAAGCACUAGCUUUUCAAAUAGAUACAAAGCCUGAGCAUCUCAAAGCGAAAGGCCAUCACCAUUGUUCACAAAGUGCUGCAAGCCUCCGUUAGCCAUCCCGAGAGGAGCUGGGAAGAGAAAAGACCUGGUUCUAGGAGGUGCACAGGAUGGGUGCUAAAACAGCAUUCCGUGAGAAGUUCUAAUAGGAUGAAAAUCUAUAAUCCAUAUUAAAAUCAUAAUUUGGAUUUUGGCUACAUAAUUUCCAGUUCAGCCAAAUGUAGACUUCCCCGACAUUGUUCUGAGUGUUUCAGCUUCAGACUACAACUAUUCUAUGCUAGGCAGGGUUUGAGUGAACACAUAAUUCCAGGCUCUUUAUUGACUAAAUGAGAGCAUGAUGUUUUAUGCUUCCUUGGCAUGCCAGGCAUCUGCUGGGAGUAGGUGCAUUCAGGCUGUAUUAAUGUUCUCAAUAUCUUGC